AUGAUAUUGACAAAGAUCUUUAAUUUUGAAGGUUUGAUAUUUGUCGGCAUUUCAAUAAGACCAAACACUUCUUCUAUUGCUAUCGGAUCACCUAGAAUUAACUCUGGCGCAAUAUGCAGAUCUCAAGUCCACUAUUCAGUCUGCAUCCUACCCAUCUCAAUGAUCUUCUCCAAUGAAUUCCUUGACAUGCUGAAAAGAGUAGGGAAACAUUUUGAGAGGAGAGUCCCCUAUCCAUAUGUUGACCUAGAACAAAGUUCUCCUUCUCGCAUCUAA